GACGAACGCUGGCGGCGUGCUUAACACAUGCAAGUCGAACGGAAAGGCCCUGCUUUUGUGGGGUGCUCGAGUGGCGAACGGGUGAGUAACACGUGAGUAACCUGCCCUUGACUUUGGGAUAACUUCAGGAAACUGGGGCUAAUACCGGAUAGGAGCUCCUGCUGCAUGGUGGGGGUUGGAAAGUUUCGGCGGUUGGGGAUGGACUCGCGGCUUAUCAGCUUGUUGGUGGGGUAGUGGCUUACCAAGGCUUUGACGGGUAGCCGGCCUGAGAGGGUGACCGGCCACAUUGGGACUGAGCUAAGGCCCAGACUCCUACGGGAGGCAGCAGUGGGGAAUAUUGCACAAUGGGCGGAAGCCUGAUGCAGCCACGCCGCGUGCGGGAUGACGGCCUUCGGGUUGUAAACCGCUUUCGCCUGUGACGAAGCGUGAGUGACGGUAAUGGGUAAAGAAGCACCGGCUAACUCCGUG
rnacentral:rRNA from 1 species